rnacentral:misc_RNA from 1 species
CCAAACUUGGUCAUUUAGAGGAAGUAAAAGUCGUAACAAGGUCUCCGUUGGUGAACCAGCGGAGGGAUCAUUAUCGAGUGUUAAAACUCCCAAACCCCUGUGAACAUACCUAUGUUGCUUCGGCGGAUUUGUCCCGGGCGCCCUGCGUGUCCCGGAAUCAGGCGUCCGCCGGAGGAUACAAACUCUUGUUUUACUGAGAAUCUUCUGAGUAUACCAAACAAAUAAAUUAAAACUUUCAACAACGGAUCUCUUGGCUCUGGCAUCGAUGAAGAACGCAGC